AAUAAUCAAAUAUAACACUUAUGGCUAAGUGUCAACUUGAUUAUUUUUCUUACCUCUUCGCCACAGGGAACCCGUUAUAUAAAUGCUCCUUAAGCACUACGAGAAAAGCGCGUUAGCCUAAUAAGACAAUUUCCAAGAAAAUGUUUAUUUCUUUUUCCCC
rnacentral:antisense_RNA from 1 species